AAUGUUGUCAAGCACAUCUCCUUAUCACUUUUCCAGCCCAGCUAUCUGACAAACGUUUGUUGGACGGAGAACUGAUAAGGGUAUGUGCCUGGCACUUU
ensembl:miRNA mir184-2 microRNA mir-184-2